AGAGUUUGAUCCUGGGCUCAGAACGAACGCUGGCGGCAGGCCUAACACAUGCAAGUCGAGCGAAGUCUUCGGACUUAGCGGCGGACGGGUGAGUAACACGUGGGAACGUGCCUCUCAGUACGGAAUAGCCUAGGGAAACCCGGAUUAAUACCGUAUACGCCCCAAUGGUGGGAAAGAUUUAUCGCUGAGAGAGCUGGCCCGCGCCUGCAUUAGGUAGUUGGUGAGAGUAACGGCUCACCAAGCCGACGAUCAGUAGUCUGGUUUGAGAGGACGAUCAGCCACACUGGGACUGAGACACGGCCCAGACUCCUACGGGAGGCAGCAGUGGGGAAUCUUGGACAAUGGGGGCAACCCUGAUCCAGCCAUGCCGCGUGAGUGAAGAAGGCCUUAGGGUUGUAAAGCUCUUUCAACGGUGAAGAUAAUGACGGUAGCCGUAGAAGAAGCCCCGGCUAACUCCGUGCCAGCAGCCGCGGUAAUACGUGAGGGGGCUAGCGUUGUUCGGAAUUACUGGGCGUAAAGCGCGCGUAGCGGAUUGGUUAGUCAGUGGGAAAUCCCGGGAGCUCAACUCCGGAAACGCCGAAACUGCCAGUCCUGAGUUCUGGAGAGGUGAGUGGAAUUCCGAGUGUAGAGGUGAAAAUUCGUAGAUAUUCGGAGGAACACCAGUGGCGAAGGCGGCUCACUGGCCAGAUACUGACGCUGAGGCGCGAAAGCGUGGGGAGCAAACAGGAUUAGAUACCCCUGGUAGUCCACGCCCGUAAACCGAUGAAAUGCCCAAGGAAUGGUUCGGGCCAGCUGCUGUUCGGUGUCACACUAACGGAUUAAGCAUUCCGCCUGGGGAGUACGCCGCAAGGUUAAAACUCAAAGGAAUUGACGGGGGCCCGCAACAAGCGGUGGAGCAUGUGGUUAAUUCGAAGCAACGCGCAGAACCUUUACCAACCCUUGACAUGGCCAGUCGCGGCGACCGGAGACGGCGCCUUCAGUUCGGCUGGACGGCCCACAGGGCGCAUGGCCGGUCGUCAGCUCGGUCGGAGAUGUUCGGUUAAGUCCGGCAACGAGCGCAACCCACGUCCUUAGUUGCCAGCAAUCAGUGGGCACCUCAGAAGAUACGGCCCGAUGAAUAAAGUCGGGAGGGAAGGUUGUGGAAGACGUCAAAGUCCCUUCAAUGGGCCCCUACCGGGGUUGGGGCUAACAACAACGGGGCAACCAAAUGGGCCAAGCGACAAUGGGGUAAAUCCCCCCAAAAAACUGUUCUUCAGUCGGAUUUGUUCCCUCGGCAAACCUCGAAGGGGCCAAUGAAAGUCGGGAAUUCGGCUAAGUAAAUUCGCGGAAACCAAGCCAAUGAACGCGGGUGAAAUACGUUCCCCGGGGCCUUGUACACCACCCGCCCCGUCAACAACCAUGGGGAAGUUUGGGGUUUAACCCGAAGACGGUGUGCCCAAACCUUCGGGAGGCAGCCCGGCCACGGUAGGCUCAGCGACUGGGGUGAAGUCGUAACAAGGUAGCC
rnacentral:rRNA from 1 species